ensembl:lncRNA
AGAGGAGAGAAAACCUUUUGUUUUUUAAAAAAAAUUAUUUAUUUUAAUUGGAGGCUAAUUACAAUAUUGUACCUUUCAACGUCUAGAUGUACAGGAAGGGAUCAUGAAAAACACUUCAGAUAUGGCCUGUUUAUUAGCGUGAAAAACUUCUUUCUGCUUCUCUGGGAACAAAAACAUCCACUUUGCAAAGAUAACAGCUUCACAGUCUUGUGACCAGGGGGAGAAACACCCCACGCGACCAGGGGGAGAAACACCCCACCCUCCCUCUCCAGUUUUAUGAAGCGUUUGUUAAUAGCUGGUCUUAGGACCCUCACCCCAUUCUCACGUUUGACAGUUUCUAAUUCAAAGAUGAUGGUAGUUUUUAUUUUACUAUUUAUUUAUUUCUAAUGGGAGGAUCAUCGCGUUAUGACAUUGUGCUGGUUUCUGCCAUACGUUGACAUGAAUCGGCCACAGGUGUAUGUACGUCUGCUGUCGUGAAGCUCCUUUCCACCUCCCAGCCCACCUCCCUGUAGGUUGUCACAGAGUUCCCUGUGUCAUCCGUCAAAUUUCCACUGGCUAUCUUACCCUGGAGGCUCAGAUAAUAAACAACGUGGGAGACCCGGAUUCAGUUGCUGGGUCAGGAAGAUCCCCUGGAGAAGGGAGAGGCUACCUAAUCCAGUAUUCUUGCCUGGACAAUCCCAUGGACAGGGGAGCCUGGUGGGCUAUAGUCCAUGGGGUCGCAGAGCGUCGGACAUGAGUGAGCAGCUGAGCACACAUCUAUUUUACAUAUGGUAAUGUGUCUGUUUCAAUGCGUCUCUUCCCCUUUGUUCCAACCUCUCCUCCCCGCUCUGUGUCCACAAUGGCCUGUUCUGGAAGAAAUCCUUCUCUUGGCUUUCAAGCAGCCAAUCAGCGCACCCGUAGACCUCACUUUGAUCGUUGUUGCUACUGGUACUGCUAAGUCACUUCAGUCGUGUCCGACUCUGUGUGACCCCAGAGACGGCAGCCUACCAGGCUCCUCCGUCCAUGGGAUUUUCCAGGCAGGAGUACUGGAAUGGGUUGCCAUUUCCUUCUCCAGAGCGUGAAAGUGAAAAGUGAAAGUGAACUGGCUCAGUCGUGUCCGACCCUCAGCGACCCCAUGGACUGCAGCCUACCAGGCUCCUCCGUCCAUGGGAUUUUCCAGGCAGGAGUACUGGAGUGGGGUGCCAUUGCCUUCUCCCACUUUGAUCGUUACUGUAGAGAAAAGGAGUCCUAGACUUGAUUGUUCAGGCCUCGUGUCUCUCGUACACACACCCUCCUAGUGUCUUUUCAGGUGGAUAGUGAAAGUGAAGUCACUCAGUCGUGUCCGACUCUUUGCUGCCCCGUGGACUGUAGCCUUCCAGGCUCCUCUGUUCAUGGGAUUUCCCAGGCAAGAAUACUGGCAUGGGUUGCCAUUUCUUCCUCCAGGGGAUCUUCGUGACCCAGGGACUGAUAAAUGUAACAUGCUUGAAUCAUCCCAAACCCAUCUGCACACCCUGGUCCGUGGAAGAACUGUCUUCCACGAAACUGGUGUCUGGUGCCCAGAAUGUUGGAAACCGCUGCCCUUGAUGACCUCCUGAUGCCUUAGAACAGGAGUGACCGCCCUUGGUUAUGAGUGUGUCUCAGGAUGAAAACUGUCUGUCACGCCUAGUUCUCAUGAAUGAGGGAGUUUUGUGUGAGAACGGAUGUUCCUUUUGGUCUGGUCCUGAGAGCAGCGAUGAGCAGCUCUGAAUAUCUGUCUGAUUCACUGGUCUUCCCUCCUCACACCCGAGUGUCUAUAUUCUUGUUGUUAUUCAGUCGCUAAGUCAUGUUAGACUCUCUGUGACCCCUUGGACUGCAGCAUGCCAGGCUCCUCUGUCCUGAACUAUCUCCCAGAGUUUGCUCAAAUCCAAGCCCACUGAGUCGGUGAUGCCAUCUAACCGUCCCAUCCUCUGUCAUCCCCUUCUCCUCCCGCCCUCAAUCUUUCCCAGCAUCAGGGUCUUUCCAGUGAGUCACCUCUUCACAUCAGGUGGCCAAAGGAUUGGAGCUUCAUUUUCAGCAUCAGUCUUUCCAAUGAAUACUCAGGGUUGAUUUUCUUUAGGAUGGACUGGUUUAAUGUCCUUACUGUCCAACGGACUCUCAAGAGUCUUCUCCCACACCACAGUUUGAAUGCAUCAAUUGUUUGGCGGUCAGUUUUCUUUUUCUUUUAUUUUUUUUAAACACUAUCAAUGAAAAGGCAAAAAAAAAAAAAUCGAUAUAAGUAGCGUCUUUUUUCGUGUCUAGGCUGAUUUGGGAUUGAGUUUGCAUGUCCUGCGAAUCCGUUACUAUCAUGAAGAAUAAUCCUUUGGGCCGAAUAUGCACCAAAUUCUGGAAAGCUGGGAUUUUCUUGUUGUGACUUUGCUGAAGAUUUGCCAGAAGUUAAUCUUCUCAAGAGGAAAUCAAGAAUGGCUCCCUGCAGGUAAUUCAGUGUGUGGAGCAGAAGUGAAAAGAUGAGUUGAAAUGAAGCACAAAAUAAGAAACCGUGGAUUCCUGAAAACCAAGCCUCAGGAAAUCAACCCUGAAUAUUCACUGGAAGGACUGAUGCUGAAGCUGAAGCUCCAAUCCUUUGGCCAGUUGGCACUAAGAGUCGACUUACUGAAAAAGACCCUGAUGCUGGGAAAGACUGAG